rnacentral:lncRNA from 1 species
UUAUUUUUUACUUCAUAAACUUAAGGCCAAAACCAAGGAAAACUUUUCAGACCACAUGAAUUCUUAAAUCAACAAGAAGUUUUAAUAAUAGACAAAAUAAGUUCAUUUACAUAACUAAUAAAUUCACAAACAAACAACUUAUCAAUCCAAAGAUGGUACAAUCACAAGCAUAAUAUAUAACAAAAUAAGCACUAUUCGUUCAAUAUAAAAAAAAAAGACUAAAAAAUUAGUAAUAAAGGGAUAAACAUGAAAAAAUCGGACCUUAUUGAUGGAUGUGUUAUGCGACUAAAAUAAUGGUUAUGGAUAUUUCUUCAAAGCUCGACCUGACAACCUUGUCGACAAACUCAACUAAGCUCCCAAAAAUCGAACGCUGAACUUAACGAAAACUUCGCUCGAUGUACUCCAUUUUGGUUAGGAUUUGCUAGAUUUCGUGGAGGAAAAGCAGUUGGGUUUUAAGGAUGUUCAUGGCUGAUUUUGCUAGGUAAAACAGAGCUGUUUUUGCUGGGUUUAGAGUGCUGAUUUUCGGCAGCAACUAUGGUAGCUUUGGAGCUGCGUUUUUGUGGCUAGUUUUCGGGUGGUUUGAGUUCGGUUUUUGGAGAAAGACAACAAGCAGCAACUGCUGCAUUUCUAUCACACAAAGUAUUUUCGCUGCUUCUUCGUACUGCUUUAGGAACUAAAAUUCAAGCUAUUUCAUGGCUAGUUUUUUUGAAUUUUGGAUCUGAAGUAUAGGGUGACUUAAGGUGUUUUCAGAUCUGGAACACGGUGCUUUGGGGGAAGACGAUUCUGGAAGAUUUUAAGGUGACGAAAAUGAUCUUUUAUAGAGGUGAAGUUGGUUCAUUUCCAUGGAGGAAAUAGACGAACUAUGCUUGUUCUUGGAAAAUGUUGCCUCCCCCCCC